CGUACACUCCUGCGGGAGGCAGCAGUGGGGAAUAUUGGACAAUGGGCGCAAGCCUGAUCCAGCCAUGCCGCGUGAGUGAUGAAGGCCCUAGGGUUGUAAAGCUCUUUUGUGCGGGAAGAUAAUGACGGUACCGCAAGAAUAAGCCCCGGCUAACUUCGUGCCAGCAGCCGCGGUAAUACGAAGGGGGCUAGCGUUGCUCGGAAUCACUGGGCGUAAAGGGUGCGUAGGCGGGUCUUUAAGUCAGGGGUGAAAUCCUGGAGCUCAACUCCAGAACUGCCUUUGAUACUGAAGAUCUUGAGUUCGGGAGAGGUGAGUGGAACUGCGAGUGUAGAGGUGAAAUUCGUAGAUAUUCGCAAGAACACCAGUGGCGAAGGCGGCUCACUGGCCCGAUACUGACGCUGAGGCACGAAAGCGUGGGGAGCAAACAGGAUUAGAUACCCCUGUAGUCCC
rnacentral:rRNA from 1 species